rnacentral:miRNA from 1 species
GGAGCGCGGGCUGGGCUGGGCUGGGCUGCGCGGGCGGGAGCGAGGGGUGC